CGCGUAGGCGGUUUUGUAAGUCGGAUGUGAAAGCCCCGGGCUCAACCUGGGAAUUGCAUUCGAAACUACAUGACUAGAGUAUGGGAGAGGGAAGUGGAAUUUCCGGUGUAGCGGUGAAAUGCGUAGAUAUCGGAAGGAACACCAGUGGCGAAGGCGACUUCCUGGACCAAUACUGACGCUCAGGUGCGAAAGCGUGGGGAGCAAACAGGAUUAGAUACCCUGGUAGUCC
rnacentral:rRNA from 1 species